rnacentral:rRNA from 1 species
AAACUGGGAUUAGAUACCCCACUAUGCCUGACUGUAAAUUACCAGCCAAAAAAGUAUGAGCCCCGCUUAAAACUUAAAGGACCUGGCGGUACUCUAUAUCAACCUAGAGGGGCCUGUCCUAUAACCGAUAAUCCACGAAAAACCUUACCACUCCUUGCCUCCAGCCUAUAUACCGCCGUCCUCAGCACAUUUCCCAAAAAAUGAAGCUAAAUAGUCCCACACACUAGCACGUCAGGUCAAGGUGUAGCUAAUGGAGCGGAAGAGGCGGACCACAAUACCACAACACACGGAAACCCCAUUGAAACAUGAGGAAAAAGAUGAAUUUAGCAGUAAGUGGGGCCGAACGCCCCACUGAACCACCCGCCCUAGAGUACGCACACACCGCCCGUCACCCU